rnacentral:tRNA from 1 species
UUGUUGAUGGCCGAGAAAUAGGCGAUAAAUUGUAAAUUUAUUAACGGAGAUUUUCUCCUCAACAAA